GGGUAACCUGCCCAAGAGAUCGGGAUAACACCUGGAAACAGAUGCUAAUACCGGAUAACAACAGAUGAUGCCUAUCAACUGUUUAAAAGAUGGUUCUGCUAUCACUCUUGGAUGGACCUGCGGUGCAUUAGCUAGUUGGUAGGGUAACGGCCUACCAAGGCGAUGAUGCAUAGCCGAGUUGAGAGACUGAUCGGCCACAUUGGGACUGAGACACGGCCCAAACUCCUACGGGAGGCAGCAGGC
rnacentral:rRNA from 1 species